rnacentral:rRNA from 1 species
GACGAACGCUGGCGGCGUGCUUAACACAUGCAAGUCGAACGAAGUGGCGAACGGGUGAGUAACGCGUAAUCAACCUGCACUUCAGAGGGGGACAACAGUUGGAAACGACUGCUAAUACCGAAUACUGAAGGAGGGGAUUGCGUCGGAUUGGCUAGUUGGAGGGGUAACUGUCCACCAAGGCGAUGCUCAGUAGCCGGGUGUAGAGCAUGACCGGCCACAUGGGGACGGUGAGCCGGCCCAGACUCCUACGGGAGGAAGCAGUGGGGACUCUUCCGCAAUGGACGACAGUCUGACGGAGCAACGCCGCGUGAGUGAUGACUGCCUUCGGGUUGUAAAGCUCUGUUAAUCGGGACGCGGUACCGGAAUAGAAAGCCACGGCUAACUACGUGUCAGCAGCCGCGGUAAUUC